rnacentral:rRNA from 1 species
UACGGAGGGUGCAAGCGUUGUCCGGAAUCACUGGGCGUAAAGGGCGCGUAGGCGGCUCAUGAAGGCUGUGGUGAAAGUCCGGGGCUCAACCUCGGAUCGGCCGUGGCGACUCGUGGGCUGGAGCACUGUAGAGGCAGAUGGAAUUCCGGGUGUAGCGGUGGAAUGCGUAGAGAUCCGGAAGAACACCGGUGGCGAAGGCGGUCUGCUGGGCAGUUGCUGACGCUGAUGCGCGACAGCGUGGGGAGCAAACAGG